GAUGGACAUCUCGCGAUGGGAGGGGGGGGAGGAUGCGAGCCGGUGAUGUCAGACGUCAUUAGCAUAUUUCUGACUAUAUCUCGUGCCUGCGCCAGCACGCGCCACUACUGCUGCGACGCACCGACCAAGACGCCUUCCAGCCAUCCUCCGACGCGCCGACAACCUGCAAAUAUGAGUGACGCCAAGCCCGACGUUUCAGAAGUGAGCAGCUUCGACAAGUCCAAGCUGAAGAAGACCGAGACCCAGGAGAAGAAUCCCCUGCCUACACAAGAUGUCAUCGAACAGGAGAAGGCGUCAGAGAAGUCGUGAAGCCCCCCCCCCCCCUCACCCCCGUCAUGCACUGUACACCGCACCCCCCCCUCCCACCCCCACCCCUCCUCCCCCGCAUUGCCUUGUUUUCAGCCACUUCUUCUAGAUGUAUAACUUUGUAACCGAAAGUAUGACACGACAACAAUAACCAAGCUGCACAGUCUGUGGACGAGGGACACUUGUCUUUUUUUUCUUUUCUUUUGUCGUCGGGGGCGGCCCUCGCCUCCUUUUAAAAUAUGCCACCUCGAGGGGGGGGAGGUUGUGGAGGCAGACUCGAGGGGAGUCGCUGAAGUGUGCUCUAAAAAGGGGGCGGGGCGCGGCCCAGGAAGCUCAUCGGCGUCCCCCGAAACGCCACCAACCCCCGGCUUCCUGUGCGGCUGCUUUUUGGCCCGAGCUGAGGCGUGUUAUUGUUUCUUUGUCUUUUCGGAAAUGCACAACUUUGUUUGUACAUCGGCCAAAAUGUAAAUGCCCCCAAAAAUUGAGACUUUUUUUUUUUUAUAUAUAUCACGAGGAUAAAAAUACAACGGAUUCCACCCAGAUCCCGGAGCCGCUCAAAUGGACCUCAUUUACCGUUUGAUUUUGACGCCCUUUUGUCGAAGCAAUUCAUGGUGGCUCUUGUGAUGCAAUCUGUCUGAAUUGUCUCUGAUGAGGAAACGCAAAAUAUACCUGCAAUUGAUUCCAUUUGUGUGCUUUCAACGGUAGAUCGGCAUCCUCAGUCGUUCCAGCAGCCAUGUUACCCUGCCACAAAACAUCACUAGAAAUGGAAAAAAAACGUGAAAUGUUGUAAUAAAAAAUUUGUUACUAAAAGAA